rnacentral:rRNA from 1 species
AACGAACGCUGGCGGCAGGCUUAACACAUGCAAGUCGAACGCCCCGCAAGGGGAGUGGCGCACGGGUGAGUAACGCGUGGGAAUAUGCCCUUCGGUUCGGAAUAACACAGGGAAACUUGUGCUAAUACCGGAUACGAUCUACGGAUGAAAGAUUUAUCGCCGAGGGAGUAGCCCGCGUAGGAUUAGCUAGUUGGUGAGGUAAUGGCUCACCAAGGCGACGAUCCUUAGCUGGUCUGAGAGGAUGAUCAGCCACACUGGGACUGAGACACGGCCCAGACUCCUACGGGAGGCAGCAGUGGGGAAUAUUGGACAAUGGGCGAAAGCCUGAUCCAGCCAUGCCGCGUGAGUGAUGAAGGCCUUAGGGGUGUAAAGCUCUUUCGCCAGGGAAGAUAAUGCCGGUACCUGGAAAAGAAACCUCGGCUAACUCCGUGCCAGCCGCCGCAGUAACAC